CGCUGGCGGCGUGCCUAACACAUGCAAGUCGAACGGGGUGUCGAGAGCUUGCUCUUGACACUUAGUGGCGAACGGGUGAGUAACGCGUGAGAAACCUGCCUCUCAGUGGGGGACAACAGUUGGAAACGACUGCUAAUACCGCAUAAUGUAUCGAGAGGGCAUCCUCUUGAUACCAAAGCUUUAUGUGCUGAAAGAUGGUCUCGCGUCUGAUUAGCUUGUUGGCGGGGUAACGGCCCACCAAGGCGACGAUCAGUAGCCGGUCUGAGAGGAUGAACGGCCACAUUGGGACUGAGAUACGGCCCAGACUCCUACGGGAGGCAGCAGUGGGGAAUAUUGGGCAAUGGGGAAAACCCUGACCCAGCAACGCCGCGUGAAGGAAGAAGGCCUUCGGGUUGUAAACUUCUUUUAGCAGGGACGAAGGACGUGACGGUACCUGCAGAAAAAGCAACGGCUAACUACGUG
rnacentral:rRNA from 1 species